GUGAAUCAUCAAAUCUUUGAACGCAAAUUGCACUCCCUGGUAUUCCGGGGAGUAUGCCUGUUUGAGGGUCGUUAGAACAAAAAUCGAAGCGAUGCUCUUUUUUUUAAGGGUGAUUGCGUCGGAAUUGAGCCGUUUUUCAAAUGUUAAUUCAUGUCAAAGUGGCUUGAAAUUCAUCUAUCCGGUACGAAUAAGCGUAUUUAAGAUCAAUUUUGAUUGAGAACGUGCGAUGACGUACCAUCUCAUGUAGUACGAUUGACUUGUCGUCGUCAGGAUCAUU
rnacentral:misc_RNA from 1 species